UUUUUAAUAGUGUAACUAAAACGUUGAUUUUUCGAGUCAGAGAUGAGAUUGAAUUCUCUUAAGGCU
rnacentral:tRNA from 1 species